rnacentral:rRNA from 1 species
AUUGAACGCUGGCGGCAGGCUUAACACAUGCAAGUCGAGCGGAGAUGAGGUGCUUGCACCUUAUCUUAGCGGCGGACGGGUGAGUAAUGCUUAGGAAUCUGCCUAUUAGUGGGGGACAACAUUCCGAAAGGAAUGCUAACACCGCAUACGUCCUACGGGAGAAAGCAGGGGAUCUUCGGACCUUGCGCUAAUAGAUGAGCCUAAGUCGGAUUAGCUAGUUGGUGGGGUAAAGGCCUACCAAGGCGACGAUCUGUAGCGGGUCUGAGAGGAUGAUCCGCCACACUGGGACCGAGACACGGCCCAGACUCCUACGGGAGGCAGCAGUGGGGAAUAUUGGACAAUGGGGGGAACCCUGAUCCAGCCAUGCCGCGUGUGUGAAGAAGGCCUUAUGGUUGUAAAGCACUUUAAGCGAGGAGGAGGCUACUGAGACUAAUACUCUUGGAUAGUGGACGUUACUCGCAGAAUAAGCACCGGCUAACUCUGUGCCAGCCGCCGCCGUAAGAC